UAUAGCUGAAGCUGGAGCAGAAAACCAAGAUUUGGCCUUUCAAAUCUCCAGCUGGGAGGCCAGCAUAAAUUUAAUGAAUGCAUGCAUGUAAAUAAAACAAUAAGAAAUUUUGAAGAUUAUGAAAUGACUACAAAUAAAAAAAAAAAAGAGUAAUGCAGAUAUUAAUCUUCACAAAAGACAGAGAAGACAUAAAUUUUUACAUUAUUUGAGAAAAAUAAUAGACUCAUCUCUACAGUAAAACUUCCUCAAAACUAAUUGACACCUUAAGCAUUCACAAAUAAAUGUCACAGGCUCUAUUAAAAUUGCCUUAUCGCUAUUGAUUUUGUACAGAUGGUACUCAGAUUCGGUGGCAGCAAUUUUAAGAUAAGACUGAAAAGAUGAGAGAAAUUAAAGAGUAGGAUUGAGGGAUCCUUUUUUAUUCUGGAAAUUCAGUAAAUUAAUAUCUUGUCCUAAUGUUUUGACUGUUCAGGAAUGGUCCUAUUGAAGAAAAAUAUCACAUGUAAUAGCAAAUUAUUUGAAUGAGGUAGCACCAUGGAAGACUGAGGAACUCCAGAAAACAGCCAAGGUGAAUAGGCAGUCUAAUGGAAUGUAAAAUUCAUUAGUAACAGAUGAACAGAAGAAGUAGUAAGCUGAGGUACCCUAAGGGUUCCCAAGUGAAUUCAUUAAAUUAACUAUUACCAUAUAGUCAGGUAGAACAAUGAAUACAGGAGCGAUUUUUUUUUCAAGAAGAGGUUUAAAAAGUGCAACUGUUUCAUUUGGUCAGUAGAUGAAUAAAAAAAUUCCCUGUUAAAAGAUAAUGAUUGGUACAAGGAAGGUAAUUGAAUUGUGCUGACUGCUGCUUCUGGAAACAUAAGAGCAAAGAUACCUUUAAGAAAUGCAAAAGCCACAACAUUAUAAACACCAUAGGAAUUAAAUUCAUCUUUCUUUUCACAGUAUGUACACUUAAAUUCAGGAAUACAGGGCAUCACUGGUACUGAGGAGAAUUACUCAGAUAUCAAAUACUGUCUUUAUUUGCUUAUUCUUCCUGCCUUCUUUUCCAGGACAAACUGCAUUAAGUGCAGAUAUACUGGCAACUGUAGAUAAUGGGCCUUUAGUAGACAUGUCAUGCCUGUCUAGCUCCUUCUCAAAUUGAAGCUGCAUCUGUGUGUACAUAAACAUACAUAGAGAGAAUUAGUAAAAAUACAUUUGAUACAGCAUAAAUGCCAAUUAUCAGAGGAAAGCAAGCCUAAGUCAAAUGUAUACUAGGUGGUAAACAUGGGGGUGUUUUCUCAGUGCAUCUGCUGUGUAAUACAUGUGCCAUUUAUUCAUAUAAAGUUCUUAGCAGGUGUUUGAACUACUUUCUUUAACAAAGUGACUUAAAAUAAAACAUAAACUUUGGUUA
rnacentral:lncRNA from 1 species